UCUUUCAGUGAUGAUUUGUACAGGUGACUUUCGUUCUUCUGAGUCUACUGAAGCCAUUCUUUCUGUCCUGAGAAGA
ensembl:snoRNA small nucleolar RNA SNORD59